CCUUUUGUAUAAUGGGUCAGCGACUUAUAUUCUGUAGCAAGGUUAACCGAAUAGGGGAGCCGAAGGGAAACCGAGUCUUAACUGGGCGUUAAGUUGCAGGGUAUAGACCCGAAACCCGGUGAUCUAGCCAUGGGCAGGUUGAAGGUUGGGUAACACUAACUGGAGGACCGAACCGACUAAUGUUGAAAAAUUAGCGGAUGACUUGUGGCUGGGGGUGAAAGGCCAAUCAAACCGGGAGAUAGCUGGUUCUCCCCGAAAGC
rnacentral:rRNA from 1 species